rnacentral:rRNA from 1 species
GAUCCUGGCUCAGGAUGAACGCUGGCGGCGUGCCUAAUACAUGCAAGUGAAACGGGUAUCUUCGGAUACCGGUCGCGGACGGGUGAGUAAUACAUAGGCAACCUGCCUUUAUGAGGGGGAUAACCGAGGGAAACUUUGGCUAAUACCGCAUGAAGACUCUAAGGCAUCUUAGAGGGAUAAAAGUUGGGAAACAACGCAUGAAGAUGGGCUUAUGGCGCAUUAGCUAGUUGGUGAGAUAGAAGCCCACCAAGGUAAUGAUGCGUAGCCGACCUGAGAGGGUGAACGGCCACAUUGGGACUGAGACACGGCCCAAACUCCUACGGGAGGCAGCAGUAGGGAAUUUUCGGCAAUGGGGGGAACCCUGACCGAGCAACGCCGCGUGAAGGAAGAAGGUUUUCGGAUUGUAAACUUCUGUUAUAAGGGAAGAACGGAUUGGAUAGGGAAUGAUCUGAUAGUGACGGUACCUUAUUAGAAAGCCACGGCUAACUACGUGCCAGCCGCCGC